rnacentral:rRNA from 1 species
GAUGAACGCUGGCGGCGUGCCUAAUACAUGCAAGUCGAGCGAACGGACGAGAAGCUUGCUUUUCUGAUGUUAGCGGCGGACGGGUGAGUAACACGUGGAUAACCUACCUAUAAGACUGGGAUAACUUCGGGAAACCGGAGCUAAUACCGGAUAAUAUUUUGAACCGCAUGGUUCAAAAGUGAAAGACGGUCUUGCUGUCACUUAUAGAUGGAUCCGCGCUUCAUUAGCUAGUUGGUAAGGUAACGGCUUACCAAGGCAACGUUGCAUAGCCGACCUGAGAGGGUGAUCGGCCACACUGGACCUGAGACACGGUCCAGCCUCCUACGGGAGGCAGCAGUAGGGAAUCUUCCGCAUGGGGCGAAAGCCUGACGGAGCAACGCCGCGUGAGUGAUGAAGGUCUUCGGUUCGUAAAACUCUGUUAUUAGGGAAGAACAGAUGUGUAAGUAACUGUGCACAUCUUGACGGUACCUAAUCAGAAAGCCACGGCUAACUACGUG